rnacentral:sRNA from 1 species
UCCAAGCGGAGAGCGUGGGCGACCAGAU